rnacentral:sRNA from 1 species
GCUGGGCGUGAUGGCACAUGCCUGUAAUUCCAGCAACGUGGGAGGCUGAGGUAGGAGGCUCACAAGUUCAAGGCCAGCCUCAGCUACUUGGUGAGGCCCUAAGCAACUUAGUGAGACUCUGUCUCAA